AGGAAAUUAGUUUAAGAAAAACCUUUGAUUUCGGCUCAAAAACUUGUGGUUAGAGUCCAUAAUUGCCUA
rnacentral:tRNA from 1 species